GGCCAGACUCCUACGGGAGGCAGCAGUGGGGAAUAUUGCACAAUGGGGGAAACCCUGAUGCAGCGACGCCGCGUGAGUGAAGAAGUAUUUCGGUAUGUAAAGCUCUAUCAGCAGGAAAGAAAAUGACGGUACCUGACUAAGAAGCCCCGGCUAACUACGUGCCAGCAGCCGCGGUAAUACGUAGGGGGCAAGCGUUAUCCGGAUUUACUGGGUGUAAAGGGAGCGUAGACGGUGAAGCAAGUCUGAAGUGAAAGGCGGGGGCUCAACCCCCGGACUGCUUUGGAAACUGUUUGACUGGAGUGCAGGAGAGGUAAGUGGAAUUCCUAGUGUAGCGGUGAAAUGCGUAGAUAUUAGGAGGAACACCAGUGGCGAAGGCGGCUUACUGGACUGUAACUGACGUUGAGGCCCGAAAGCGUGGGGAGCAAACAGGAUUAGAUACCCUUGUAA
rnacentral:rRNA from 1 species